rnacentral:other from 1 species
UUCGGUGUAAUCAAUAGUUUGAAAUAUAAUUUUUCUUCUUGAGAAUAGAUUUGGGCAAGGAUAGUAAUAUAUUGUGUGGCAACGCACUAGGAGGCAACAAAAAUGGAACAAGGUACAGUAAAAUGGUUUAACGCAGAAAAAGGUUUUGGAUUUAUCGAACGCGAAAACGGAGACGACGUAUUCGUACAUUUCUCUGCAAUCCAAACUGAUGGCUUCAAGUCUUUAGACGAAGGCCAAAAAGUAACUUUUGAUGUUGAGCAAGGUGCUCGUGGAGCUCAAGCUGCUAACGUUCAAAAAGCAUAAUCUUAUAUGAUUAUAUGAAACAGGCUCUUUUUAGAGCCUGUUUUUUA